CCAGUCUCAGGUACACUGGGGAUGCCAUGCCGGGGGUGGGUGGGACUGGGCGGGCGUUCAGCCUGCAGGCCACGGGGGUCGGUGGCAGCAGAGUCCUUGGACUUUGUGCCGGCCACCUCACUCUGGACUGGCCUCUCCACCCACUACCCGGUGGCCUUCAGAUGGUCCUUUUUUUGCAAAACCAGGCAGAGGGUUGUGUGGCGAGCCGCCCGGAAUCUUUCUGCUGGGUAGUGUGUGUCUGCACGUGCCCCAGGCUGGCACCCCUCCGUCACCUCCCGGUCACUGCAGGCUGCCUCUGAGGAGGGCAGUACCUGCCCACAAAGGCCCACGGAGCCAUGGCUUCUUCCCAGUGGUGAUCCCUGAUGGGCUGGAAGGUGACCGAACCGCUUGUCCUUUAUAAGCUGGGCUUGCUGCUUGCCGUUGAGGAAGAGCUUGUCAUGGGUGUCAGCGUUUAAAAGUGGAAUAGACGGGGUUUCACCGUGUUGGCCAGGAUGGUCUCCAUCUCUUGACGUCGUGAUCCACCCGCCUCGGCCUCCCAAAGUGCUGGGAUUACAGGCGUGAGCCACCGCACCCGGCCGAUAUUACAAAAUCUUUCCUGAGGCUGGAAGUCCAGAAGUCGGGGUGCUGGCAGGACGUGCUCUUCUGAAGCCUCCAGGGCAGGGCCAGCCGCAUGCCCGUCUCCUCGCUUGGGCACCUGCCAGCGGUCCCCGGCGGUCCCCGGCUCAUUGCUGCAUGGCUCCAACGUCCGCCUCUCCCACCAUGUGGCCUCCUCCUGGUGUCUCUGUGUCCAAAUCUCCCGCUCUGUCUAAGGAUAACAGUCACUGGUCAUGGGACCCAUCCUAAUCCAGGGUGACCUCGUAUUAACCUCAUCACAUCUGCAAAGACUAUUUCCAAGUCAAGCCACACUCCCAGCUGCUGGGGGCGGGACUUGAACAUAUUUUUUGUGGGGACACAAUUCCCCUCUCAGGUUUUAAGAUUUGUC
rnacentral:lncRNA from 1 species